rnacentral:misc_RNA from 1 species
AAUGAGGGUCGCAUCCAAUGCCCUUAUCACGGAUGGGAGUAUUCCACCGACGGGAAGUGUGAGAAAAUGCCAUCAACAAGAUUACUGAAUGUAAAGAUCAAAGCACUGCCCUGCUUUGAGCAAGAGGGAAUGAUAUGGAUUUGGCCAGGAAAUGAUCCACCUGCAGCUACCCUUCCUUCUUUACUACCACCUUCUGGAUUUCAG